rnacentral:rRNA from 1 species
AACGAACGCUGGCGGCAUGCCUAACACAUGCAAGUCGAACGAGACCUUCGGGUCUAGUGGCGCACGGGUGCGUAACGCGUGGGAACCUGCCCGUAGGUUCGGAAUAACUCCCCGAAAGGGGUGCUAAUACCGGAUAAUGUCUUCGGACCAAAGAUUUAUCGCCUUUGGAUGGGCCCGCGUUGGAUUAGCUGGUUGGUAGGGUAAAAGCCUACCAAGGCGACGAUCCAUAGCUGGUCUGAGAGGAUGAUCAGCCACACUGGGACUGAGACACGGCCCAGACUCCUACGGGAGGCAGCAGUGGGGAAUAUUGGACAAUGGGCGAAAGCCUGAUCCAGCAAUGCCGGGUGAGUGAUGAAGGCCUUAGGGUUGUAAAGCUCUUUUACCCGGGAUGAUAAUGACGGUACCGGGAGAAUAAGCUCCGGCUAACUCCGUG